rnacentral:rRNA from 1 species
GAUGAACGCUGGCGGCGUGCCUAAUACAUGCAAGUCGAGCGAACAGAUGAGGAGCUUGCUCCUCUGACGUUAGCGGCGGACGGGUGAGUAACACGUGGAUAACCUACCUAUAAGACUGGGAUAACUUCGGGAAACCGGAGCUAAUACCGGAUAAUAUAUUGAACCGCAUGGUUCAAUAGUGAAAGACGGUUUUGCUGUCACUUAUAGAUUGAUCCGCGCCGCAUUAGCUAGUUGGUAAGGUAACGGCUUACCAAGGCAACGAUGCGUAGCCGACCUGAGAGGGUGAUCGGCCACACUGGAACUGAGAGACGGUCCAGACUCCUACGGGAGGCAGCAGUAGGGAAUCUUCCGCAAUGGGCGAAAGCCUGACGGAGCAACGCCGCGUGAGUGAUGAAGGUCUUCGGAUCGUAAAACUCUGUUAUUAGGGAAGAACAAAUGUGUAAGUAACUAUGCACGUCUUGACGGUACCUAAUCAGAAAGCCACGGCUAACUACGUG